rnacentral:piRNA from 1 species
UAAGGAGGCACAGCCAGGAGAACUA